rnacentral:rRNA from 1 species
UACGUGAGGGGGCAAGCGUUGUCCGGAUUUAUUGGGCGUAAAGAGCGUGUAGGCGGCCAGGUAGGUCUGCUGUGAAAACUCGAGGCUUAACCUCGAGCUGUCGGCGGAAACCAUCUGGCUAGAGUCCGGAAGAGGAGAAUGGAAUUCCCGGUGUAGCGGUGAAAUGCGCAGAUAUCGGGAAGAACACCCGUGGCGAAGGCGGUUCUCUGGGACGGUACUGACGCUGAGACGCGAAAGCGUGGGGAGCGAACAGG